AAUAUGAAUAAAAAGUGUAUAGGAAAGGCGUGACAUAUCAGUGAGUUAAGGACAAACAAGCGUGCGUGAAUGACAACUGGUAAGAGUAGUGGAAGUUAUUUAGUGACGUACAUGCGAGAAACAACAAAUAUAAUGAGGGUGUAAGAAAUGAGAGAGAAGAACGGAUAAAAUAAAUGAGGUAUGAGGGGGGGGGGAAUAAGUAGCAACGACAACACUUACACAACAUGGGAGUGAGGGACGAGAAUCAUAGAGAUGUAGGGCGAUGUUUAAGGGGAAAAAGAGACGAAGAGAGGCGAGCAAGCAGAGAAUACAAGAGAGGUGGAGAGAUUGCAAGAGAGUAGAACUUAAUGAGAGCAUUCCUGUGUUUUUAUUCGGGCCUUCAGAAGAUUUUGCUGAAUGGUUUUCAUUAGCCAGUCGACCAGAUAAAGGAAUAUAUUGAUGGUGCUGUCUUGGUGACCUGAUUGUGAUUGUGAUUGUGAUUCUGAUAAUGUUAAUGUGCUACGGAUAGUGUUACCUAUAUUGUUACUCUGGUCGUUAUUGUUCCAGUUAGUUAUUUUUAUGGUAAUUAAAAGAUAUACACGAAUAACUCAUCAACCUUAUCAUCUUAAUCAUCUUCUUAAAUGUGCCGUGGAGAGGAGAGUCAAAUAGUUGGUGACUGCUGUGUGCGCGUGUACCACCAACUCAUCGUCAUCUCAUCAACAUAUAAAUGUGAUUAGUGGUAUUUUGAAUGGUGGAGACGGUGAUAU